rnacentral:sRNA from 1 species
UAUUCUGCCCCACGGGGAAGGAUGAGAAGCUUCGACUAAGGUUCGACUCGAGCGAAGCGAGAGAACGUUGCCGCAGGCAACGGCCCGAAGGGCGAGGCGCUUUAGCGCCGAGUAAUCCUUCCCCACCACCA